GGUGACCGUACCGUAAACCGACACAGGUGGACGAGAUGAGUAUUCUAAGGCGCUCGGGUGAUCCACCCUUAAGGAACUCGACCAAUUAGCCCCGUAACUUCGGAAGAAGGGGUACUCCUGAUGGUGAAAGACUUGCUCUGUAAGCUUUUGGGAGUGGCACUAAAGUGGCUCAGGCGACUGUUUACUAAAAACAUAGGUCUCUGCAAAGUCGUAAGACGACGUAUAGGGACUGACGCCUGCCCAAUGCCGGAAGGUUAAGGGGAGAGGUUAGGCUUCGGCCGAAGCUUUGAACUGAAGCCCCGGUUAAUGGCGGCCGUAACUAUAACGGUCCUAAGGUAGCGAAAUUCCUUGUCGGGUAAGUUCCGACCUGCACGAAUGGCGUAACGAUCUGAGCAUUGUCUCGAGGGUGGGCCCGGUGAAGUUGUAAUACCAGUGAAGAUGCUGGUUACCCGCAAAAGGACGGAAAGACCCCGUGCACCUUUACUACAGCUUGAUAUUGGGUUUAGUUAUUGCUUGUAUAGGAUAGGUGGGAGACAUUGAAACUGGGACGCUAGUCUCGGUGGAGUCACCCUUGG
rnacentral:rRNA from 1 species